AGAGAUGGGUUUUCACUAUUUUUCCCAGGCUAGUCUCCAACUUCUGGGCUCAAGCGAUCCACCCGCCUUGGCCUCCUAAGUCCUAGGAUUAUAGGGGGACCUUUGGCCAUGUCUUGAGAUGUUUUUGGUUGCCGUGAUUGAGGAGGUGCUACCAGCGUCUGCUGGGCAGAGACCAGGGAUGCUGCUCCACAUCCCACAAUGCACAGGACAAUCUUCUCUACAGCAAUGAAUUAUCCAGUUCACAAUCUCAAUAGCACCAAUAUUGAGAAACCCUGUUGAAGAUGGAGACUAUCCACGGGGCAUUGAUCUUGGGGUCUCCCCCUUCCUGAAUACUUGAAGUCCCUCGGCAGACUCUUGGAUACCUCCAGCAAUGGGGAGCUCACCACCUGUUUUGAAGCCAGGCAGGUUUGGGCUCUUCUUGUAGCUGUGUGACUCUGGAUUUUCCCAUAGGUGGGAGUGGAUCCACCACCUUGAGCUUCAGUUUCCUCCAGUGCCAUGGGAUUAGCAGCAGCCCUGCCUCACAGAUUGCGUG
rnacentral:lncRNA from 1 species